UGGCGAAUAUGCAGUCUGCGUCUCAAUACACAUCCCAAUCAACAUUUGGGCAAAGAGGGCCUGAAGAGACACGUCUUCAGGGAGACAUCUCACUCGCCCAGAAACCGCCCAAGACUCCAGACCUCUCCUUCUGUUAAGCAUGGACUACCCGGUUAUAUCAGCUGUUUUGGUAAACCCUCCCGCAUCUGAACUGGCUGACACAGAGGGCACAGCAUGAUCAUAGAUAUGUUUUGAUGUGAGAGAGGAAGCCAGUCCCGUCAUCGCCACCUCACCCACUCUUAACCUCUCUUGGGUAGGGGGCAGUAUUUUCACGUCUGGAUGAAAAGCGUGCCCAGAGUAAACUGCCUGCUACUCAGGCCCAGAUGCUAGGAUAUGCAUAUUAUUAGUAGAUUUGGAUAGAAAACACUCUGAAGUUUCUACUCGGGGCACCUUAUUCAUUCAAGCUACUCAAUACUGCUCCCAGCCAUAAGAAGUUAAAACAAGUCAUUUUUGGCAAUGCUUGAGUUUGCCUUUAAUGUUAUUCAUGUCAAUUAAAUGGUGAGAGAAAUGACAAGACAACCCAAAUACAGCCCUCAUUUCAGCUGAGACACUCAGACACAAUCACUUCACUGUCUUGAGGCACCUAGAAGCCAACCUAGGAUGUCCACUUCCACUGGGGGCUGCAGUGAGACAAAGCUACUGGGAUCUCCUAUAGAACCUACGGUCUUCUGACAGACACCUGCUACAGUACCAGGGAGAACCAUGGCACCACGGUCCUCGGCUCUACCUCUAUUCAUCUAGAUUCUACACUAGAGUGUGGUUCAUGCUCAUACUGCAGUGGAACAUGAUGCCCAGUAAUACUGCAUGGCCAAUCUAAUCAUAUUGAAAAUAGUUUGUUUCAGUUAAAGUUUCAUUCUACUGUACCAGUGUUCAUUAUAUGCAGUUGCUAAAAUGUAUAUGGUUCGUCUUGACAAGAUGCAAGCAAUGAUUAUUACAUUGUUAUUCACAAAGAUGAUUAUUGUCUCAAUAAAUAAAGAUGUCCAUAAAACAUGUUGGGAUUAAAAAGGUUUAAACUGUU